GACGAACGCUGGCGGCGUGCUUAACACAUGCAAGUCGAACGGAAAGGCCCUGCUUUUGUGGGGUGCUCGAGUGGCGAACGGGUGUGUAACACGUGAGUAACCUGCCCUUGACUUUGGGAUAACUUCAGGAAACUGGGGCUAAUACCGGAUAGGAGCUCCUGCUGCAUGGUGGGGGUUGGAAAGUUUCGGCGGUUGGGGAUGGACUCGCGGCUUAUCAGCUUGUUGGUGGGGUAGUGGCUUACCAAGGCUUUGACGGGUAGCCGGCCUGAGAGGGUGACCGGCCACAUUGGGACUGAGAUACGGCCCAGACUCCUACGGGAGGCAGAAGUGGGGAAUAUUGCACAAUGGGCGGAAGCCUGAUGCAGCAACGCCGCGUGCGGGAUGACGGCCUUCGGGUUGUAAACCGCUUUCGCCUGUGACGAAGCGUGAGUGACGGUAAUGGGUAAAGAAGCACCGGCUAACUACGUG
rnacentral:rRNA from 1 species